rnacentral:lncRNA from 1 species
UAAUUACAUACAAGACCAUGGAGAGAGAUCAAAUCCUGCCAUCUCCCUUGGAUCCUGGAAACAGCCUCUUAAGGCACCCUCGAGCCUCGUUAAAGGAAACAAAUCAAAGUGCUGCACCAGAGGAUUGCAGGUAAAGCUGUGCUCCUGAGGACCUGCCUUUUCUAGAUAGCCCCGUGUAUGGGGAGUGAAACAUUUCCAGGAGAUUGGAUUCCAGCUGGGGCCUGGGGAAAUUCCGCAGCUCCACCAACCAUCCAUCACCACUCGCUCAGGGAGGAGCGAUAAAUCCAUCACCAUCUUCUUCUGGAGCAGCUGUGGGGAUGGCAGGAGGAGCAGCAGUGCAGACUGCCUUCCCUGCACGUGGAGAAGAGCCAAAAUCGGGGCAAGGGAGCAGCUUUCAGCCUCUCCUUCCCCUCCUGCCGUGCUGCUCCCCCAGCAGCUCUGCUCCCUGUGCCUGGGCAGCUGUGCUGGCUGGCAGCAGUUACUGCUGGUUUCUUCACAGCCUUUGCUUUGGACUCCUCAUGAUGGUGGCUGUUACACCCCUAGGGCAGCAGUGAGUGUCCACUCAGGUUGGUAUGUCCAUGCUGUUGGCUGUCCAUGCAGCCUGGCUCAGGGAAUGUCACUGUUCUCAAAACCAAAAUGCCUUCAGGGGCUUGUGCUCUCUCCCAGGGCGAUGCUGCCCAGAGAGACAACCUCCUCCUUCCUCCUCCUGCUCCUCCUCCUCCUCUCUGCAGGGCUGGCUCCUGGGAUCACUCACACCCAGGAGGGACUGGAUCUCUGCAAAGUGCCAGGUGGCAUCCACGGGGAGGAGGCAGAUGUUGCUGGAUGACAGGAUGGAGAUCCAGCCUCUGGACUUGGUUCCUUGCCUCGCUGCCUGCAGAGGUCAGCAGUGCUGGAGUCCCUGUGGGAUGUGGACAGCCCUACUCCUUCCCAGGCCAGGAAAAGAAGAGAAACACUUCAUGAUCCUUAAACUUGUUAAAUUUAAAACUUGAAAAGGCACCUUCAUGCUUUCAAUCAAUCAUUUUUACUGCUUCUAAUGCAACUGGUCUCAGCUUUCCUAGAAGACCCAGAGGGAAACCAGGAAAGAUCAGAUGUGACAUUCUGGACUUGGCGUGUGAAAAGCAACUGGGGAAAAAAUAGAAUAAAGUGAAGUACAGAGAGACUUGUGGCUGCA